ACGUAGGGGGCUAGCGUUACUCGGAUUCAUUGGGCGUAAAGCGAAUGUAGGCGGUUUUGUAAGUCAGAUGUGAAAUCCCUCGGCCUAACCGAGGAAUAGCAUUUGAUACUGCUUAACUUGAGGACAGGAGAGGAAAGUGGAAUUCCCGGUGUAGCGGUGGAAUGCGUAGAUAUCGGGAGGAACACCAGAGGCGAAGGCGGCUUUCUGGACUGUUCCUGACGCUGAGAUUCGAAAGCUAGGGGAGCAAACAGGAUUAGAUACCCUGGUAGUCCUAGCUGUAAACGAUGGAUACUAGAUCUUGCAUCAAUUUGCUUGGUCGUAGCUAACGCGUUAAGUAUCCCGCCUGGGGAGUACGGUCGCAAGGCUG
rnacentral:rRNA from 1 species